UUUCCAUGUUUCAACCAUAGGAACCUUAAUCUCCAAUUUCUUGAAGAUCUCCAUAAAGCACUUGAACCUAUUUUCCUUCCUAUGAUUUUUCUUCUGAUGAGGAAAGGGUUUUGCAUAUGAUCUUUUCUUCCUUCCUCUCCUCCUCUUUUUCUUUCUUUUUAUUUUCUUCUUUAUUUUUGCACAUUUUCUAUUUUUCNUUUUUCUUUCAACCACUUGAACGAUAAAGCUCCUUGGAUCUUGUAAUUUA
rnacentral:lncRNA from 1 species